rnacentral:rRNA from 1 species
UGUGUAGGCGGUUGCUUAAGUUUGGUGUGAAAUCUCCCGGCUCAACUGGGAGGGUGCGCCGAAUACUGAGUGACUCGAGUGCGGGAGAGGAAAGUGGAAUUCCUGGUGUAGCGGUGAAAUGCGUAGAUAUCAGGAGGAACACCGGUGGUGUAGACGGCUUUCUGGACCGUAACUGACGCUGAGACACGAAAGCGUGGGUAGCAAACAGGAUUAGAUACCCUGGUAGUCCACGCCCUAAACGAUGCAUAUUUGGUGUGGGCAGUUCAUUCUGUCCGUGCCGGAGCUAACGCGUUAAAUAUGCCGCCGUGGGGAGUACAGUCGCAAGGCUAGAA